rnacentral:lncRNA from 1 species
UAUUCGUCGAUCACAAAUUUUCAAAUUAAUUGGUCACAAUUUAUUUUGUGAUCAUAAAUUAUAUAAUUUUUAGGUCACAAUUAAAUGGUUCACUCAUUGUUAUCCGGUCACAAAUCACGAAUUUUAUAAGUCACAACUUAUUCAUCCAAACAAAUCAUUGCCAACACACAAGCAUCAAAUACGUCAAGAUCCACAACACAAACACCAUCUCUACCACCAUCCCAGAUCGACGACCACCUCACCAUGGAAACACCACCACAUCACAGAAAUAUACCACCACAUCUCAAAACCACCAGAUCCGUCGAGAUCUACCUCACCAGGAAGAGACCGCCAUCGGUAGAGAGUGACAGAUCCACAGCCAUCUCCACAACCCCUAACUACAUCAACUGGCGGAGAUCCAUAGCCCCUGACUACAUCAACACCCCCUGCAAACAAAACACACCAAUAUCCCCACAGAUUCACUAUAUCACCGCGUGCAACGGCAAGGCAAUCUAAGAACAAAGUCAGGUUGCUACAACGGCGACGACAGCAACACCUGAGCAGAGAGACGAUAAUGAAGAGAGAGGAGAGGAGAGGGUGGCAGACGGUGGUGUGGAGAGAGAGGAGAUGAGAGAGAGAUCAAUUUAGGGUUUGAAUGGAUAGAUAGGGUGGGUUGUAUGUAUAUUAGGCCUUCGUUUGGCCCCAUUUUUUUUGGAAAUGAAAAUGGGUGGAAUGGUAUUUUUUUAAAAAAAUAAGUGGUUGAAAAAGAAGGAAAAAUUUUCGAUGUACGUGUAAUAUUAUUUUAUGGAAGAUUGUAUGGU